rnacentral:lncRNA from 1 species
UUUGUUUUUUUGCUGUAAGAAUAGUGAGGCCUGCAAAUGAUGAGGUGCCUGGACCCACAAAGCGCCUUAAAGACUGGAGCAGAAAGCGCGUAAUUCCUAAAUGGCUUCCAGACCGGCUUCCCCUCUGCCGCCGUCCUCCUUUCCUGCUGGUUAUUAUUGCUUUGGACACCCUCCAGGGGCUGGGGGGACGAGAGGCUCCUCUUCCCCAGGCCCUUUUUAAAAGAGCAGUUGUGUUUCGUGCUUUUGGCAGAGAUUGGGUUUCAUAGGUGUCUGUAGGGGAGCCCUCCACAGCUCCUUGGUUCCGUCUGACUCAGGGCAGCCCCUUCAGCAGCAGGUAGGCCAGGCUCCUGCUGGGUUUGCCUUUAGCCUGCCUGCCACGGAUGGUGCCAGUGACAGCCGGGGGCCUCAUUCUGCCUUGAUUUCCGCCAAUUUUACACCAAUCCUGCCAGUGUGGAUGGAUGGGGGAGGAGCUGUGUUUGGUCAUCCCCAGGCCAUUCCAGCAAUCAGCUGGGGGGACACGCAGUUAGGACCUCCCCGUGACCUUUGCCGUCUGCCAGUCAUUGUGGGACAAGCAGCCCAGCCACGUGAAAACAACCUGGGUGAGAGGCUUGCGGAGGCUGUAACCUAUUUCCCUGCCUCUCCCAGGCCUUCCGUUCAUCCUACACACCCCUCCAGACUUCAUUUUCCUAAAACAGAUCUCAUCCCCUCCCUCCUGAAAACCCUCGCUCACUACCUUUCUGGUCCAACUUUACGUUUUACUGUUUGCCUUCGCCUCACUACCUAGUGGUUCCCACGGGGUGGGGAGUGUUGUUUGAAAAUGCAAGGAAAGGGACAGUGGCUACCGGCAGGAGGGCAGGGGAGGGGAGUGGCAGGGAUGC